rnacentral:lncRNA from 1 species
UUAUCAACAACUUUUACAAUAGAAUAUCAUCCAUCCAACACAACACAUCCACAACCCUUGUUAUCCUUUUUUGGUCAAUUUUCCAUGCAGUUUAUUUUAGGUUUUCAUCUUACAUCCAAGUAUUUAAGACAAGAGGGGUUGCUCUGAUGGUAAGCAACCCCCACUUCUAACCGAGAGGUUGUGAGUUCGAGUCUCCCCAAGAGCAACGUGGGAAGUUCUUGGAGGGAAGGAUGCCGGGGUCUAUCUGGAAACAGCAUCUCUACCUAAGGGUAGGGUAAGGUCUGCGUACACACUACCCUCCCCAGACCCCACUAAGUGGGAUUAUACUGGGUUGUUGUUGUUGUUGUUAUCUUACAUCCAAGUAUUUACAUACAAUUUUCACUUGCACACGUUCUUAAAAGUCCAACCCCUCUUUAGUAUAGUCCUAUUUAACAACCUUAAUUUUCUUCCACACUAGUGUUGCAACUUGUACUUGCAAGUACCUUACAUGAAGAGAUCUGUUAAACUCUAACAUUGAUUAAAAGGAUGAGUUUUUGUCACCUUAUAUAUGUCUUAGAUAAUCCUCAACUGAUGAACUAGUAAUGUUUAAGGUUGAGUUGUACCCAAGGUUCAUUUUCUUCUUUACAUGUUAUUAGAGCCAGACUCAUCCCUAUUUUUAGUUUACUCAAUGUUGGAAUCUUAUGUUAUGUUGUUCACGCUCCACAUAUCGCGAGCUGGGUGUGUGGCAGUGUAAAAGUCCCACAUUGAUCUCCUUAAAUGAUGUAAUGGUCUAGAGCAGUGUAAGAGUCAUCCCUAUUUUUAUUUCUCGCCAAACGAAUAGAGUCUCUUCUCCAUGGGAAUUGUCACAAACUUUUGAGAAUCAUAACAUGUCAUUUGGCUAGAGACUACAGAGCUGACUAAACUCAGUCGUCUAAUACACCUUGCCAACAAAAGAUCAAAUGUAUUUGAAGAAAUCCAAAAUCAACAGCCGCAAUUGAAAAAGCUAAAGAAAAGAGCCACCUUUACUUAAAAAAUGGAAUAAAGAAUAGAAAAUAAAAUACGAAUACAAGCUAUAUGCAAUUCGAUAGUAGCAUCAACACCCCAGAAGACAUAACCCAAAAAGAAAACAGAGAAGAGAGUGAAAGGGGGAGCUCACUAGUGAUCAUAGUUGAUAUUUGACCCGACAAAUGAACCGAAUGACUUCGUUAGCGGCGAAGGUUGGUUAUCACAGAGAAGCCUGAACCCGGCAAACAUUCGAGUCGGUG